rnacentral:tRNA from 1 species
GGGUUUCAUGGUCUUCAUGUCCUUAUCGGAACAAUUUUCUUAGCAAUUUCCCUACUACGAAUCUUUUUCAACCAUUACUCCACGGGCCAUCAUUUUGGAUUUGAAGCUGCUGCUUGGUACUGACACUUUGUCGAUGUAGUAUGGCUAUUUUUAUUCCUUUCAAUUUACUGAUGAGGGUCUUAAACUAGGUAGCUAAGAUCAAGCUUUAAACUUUUAAUUUAACUACACCCAUAGGGUCCUAGUUA